rnacentral:rRNA from 1 species
CGUAGGGCGCGAGCGUUGUCCGGAUUUAUUGGGCGUAAAGAGCUCGUAGGCGGCUUGUUGCGUCGACCGUGAAAACCCGCGGCUUAACUGCGGGCUUGCGGUCGAUACGGGCGGGCUGGAGUUCGGUAGGGGGAGACUGGAAUUCCUGGUGUAGCGGUGGAAUGCGCAGAUAUCAGGAGGAACACCGGUGGCGAAGGCGGGUCUCUGGGCCGAUACUGACGCUGAGGAGCGAAAGCGUGGGGAGCGAACAGGAUUAGAUACCCUGGUAGUCCACGCUGUAAACGUUGGGCGCUAGGUGUGGGGGGCCUCUCCGGUUUCCUGUGCCGCAGCUAACGCAUUAAGCGCCCCGCCUGGGGAGUACGGCCGCAAGGCUA